rnacentral:rRNA from 1 species
CCUACGGGAGGCAGCAGUGGGGAAUAUUGCACAAUGGGGGAAACCCUGAUGCAGCGACGCCGCGUGAGUGAAGAAGUAAUUCGUUAUGUAAAGCUCUAUCAGCAGGGACGAAAAUGACGGUACCUGAGUUAGAAGCCCCGGCUAACUACGGGCCAUCAGCUUCGGUAAUAUGUAGGAGGCAAGCGUUAUACGGAUUAACUGGGUGUCAAGGGUGCGUAGGCGGCAGUGCAAGUCUGGAGUGAAAGGCGGGGGGCCCACCCACGGACAGCUGUGGAAACUGUACGGCUGGAGUGCAGGAGAGGUAAGUGGAAUGCCUAGUGUAGCGGUGAAAUGCGUAGAUAUUAGGAGGAACGCCAGUGGCGAAGGCGGCUUACUGGACUGUAACUGACGUUGAUGCUCGAAAGCGUGGGGAGCAAACAGGAUUAGAUACCCGAGUAGUC